rnacentral:rRNA from 1 species
AUACGGAGGGGACUAGCGUUGUUCGGAAUUACUGGGCGUAAAGAGUUCGUAGGCGGACUGAUAAGUAAGAGGUGAAAUCCCAGGGCUCAACCCUGGAACUGCCUUUUAAACUGUCAGUCUAGAGACCGGAAGAGGUUAGGGGAAUACCUAGUGUAGAGGUGAAAUUCGUAGAUAUUAGGUGGAACACCAGUGGCGAAGGCGCCUAACUGGUCCGGUACUGACGCUGAGGUGCGAAAGCGUGGGGAGCAAACAGGAUUAGAAACCCUAGUAGUCC